rnacentral:lncRNA from 1 species
ACUCCAUUUUCUUACCUGCCUUCAGCUAAAAAUUCCUACUAACGUCUGUCAAUUUCAAUCAUUGUCUGAUAGAGCAUUGUAGAGCUUCAUUUUUAUAAAAGGAAUUUAUUAAGUAUUUAUAUUACAUAUAACCUAAUAUGUGUCUCAAUUGUAUACGAAUAUUUCGCAAAAACAAGUUUCAAUUGCGAUAGUUUAAUCUGCACCCUCCGGCCACAACCCUUCAUUAAAAUUACCUCGAAAACUACCGACAACUGAUAAUGUGAUUUACACUAGCAAAUUUUAUCUACCGCCCAAAACGCCUAUUUAUUGGGUACAAAUGAUUUAACGAAGAAAAAUAGCCUUAACUGUAUAAAUUUUUGAUAAGUGGCAUGAAAUAUCUAGGAAGAUAAACUAACUCAAUGUUUCUUUGAGAGUGUCUCCCAUGUUUUAAUCCAUUCUGCUAACUUAAUCAAGAAAUCGAUUUGUUCCCGCUCAUUUACAGAAAUUGGGUUUAACGUAUAGAACAAGAUCCUUUGAUGAUAGGGCGAAAAACAUGAAGUCUUCAUUAUAUAUUAUAUUAAUGUCUUUGGGUAAAAACGGAUUAUCCAGGUCUUUUUAUACCCGUGAAAUUUUUUAUCUCAUCUUGAA